rnacentral:rRNA from 1 species
UACGAAGGGGGCUAGCGUUGCUCGGAAUUAUUGGGCGUAAAGGGCGCGUAGGCGGCCCUGCAAGUCAAAGGUGAAAUCCCUCGGCUCAACUGAGGAACUGCCUUUGAAACUGCGGGGCUUGAGGCCGGGAGGGGGUAGCGGAAUUCCCAGUGUAGCGGUGAAAUGCGUAGAUAUUGGGAGGAACACCAGUGGCGAAGGCGGCUACCUGGACCGGUUCUGACGCUGAUGCGCGAAAGCGUGGGUGGCAAACAGG